AACGAACGCUGGCGGCAUGCCUAACACAUGCAAGUCGAACGAGACCUUCGGGUCUAGUGGCGCACGGGUGCGUAACGCGUGGGAACCUGCCCUUAGGUUCGGAAUAACUCCCCGCAAGGGAUGCUAAUACCGGAUAAUGUCUUCGGACCAAAGAUUUAUCGCCUUUGGAUGGGCCCGCGUUGGAUUAGCUAGUUGGUAGGGUAAAAGCCUACCAAGGCGACGAUCCAUAGCUGGUCUGAGAGGAUGAUCAGCCACACUGGGACUGAGACACGGCCCAGACUCCUACGGGAGGCAGCAGUGGGGAAUAUUGGACAAUGGGCGAAAGCCUGAUCCAGCAAUGCCGCGUGAGUGAUGAAGGCCUUAGGGUUGUAAAGCUCUUUUACCCGGGAUGAUAAUGACAGUACCGGGAGAAUAAGCUCCGGCUAACUCCGUG
rnacentral:rRNA from 1 species